UCAUGGAUAGUGAAAUUGUUGAGGAGUUGUCUCUUUAAACCAUGUAAUGCAAUCUUAGUAAAUAAAGAUGUCAUCUAAUCGACAUCAAAUGUCAUUUCCCUUAUGAAGGCUUGUUUCUAAUGUCUUCUCCUUUUGUAUCUUGGUGUAAUGGUGUAUAAAUUGAAUUGAAAAGAUGAAUUAUGAAACUUGUCAAGCACAUAGAUUAGAAAAAAAAAGAGCCCCAAAAAAGAAAAAUGAAGCAAGAGCCAUUAUCCACUACAGAUUUGUCUUUCGCCCUUUGGAACAACGUCGCCUCCUCACCGUUGUCUGUUCCAGACGGUGUGGUCCCUUCGGCACACCGCGACGUCCAUCACCGGCCGCGCUGGCUCAGAUUCCCCAACCGCCCCGCCACCGUACGAUCCCCCGAGAAGAUGACGGCAGCGACUCCGACUCCGACGCCCAGAAGAGCCUCCACCUGAAGUAGCGCGUGGCUCGGCGGCAACGUCCUCUGAGGGCAUGGAGCUCGCUUCCUUCUCCCAUCCCCAAAUCAAGCGCAUCCUCAGAUACUUCUGGGAAAAAAAGAUGCGUCUUGGAGGCGGCGCGAUUUUGAGCUUUCAUGGGCUUCGUGGAUAAAAUGAUGUCCAAUAAGAUUCAUUAUCGCUUCUCUGGACCAAGCGGCGUUGGACGCUCGGAUGCUUGCGAAGAGACUGGGACCGGAUGUUCGAGAAGGACAGCGAAGGCAGUUCAAUUUCAUUGUCCUGCGAGAAGUUGAACCUGAGUUGAUGGAUGCUUCAAUUGAGGCCACAGAAGAGGUGACGAUAGCAGGCUGCGAGCUUUAUCGGUAUCAGAGGCCUGGGUUGGUGAAGAUAAUGACAAAGGAGGAGAAGAUUUCUAACGUGAACACGGGGAAGAAGAGGGGGUACCUGGUUUUCAUUUGUUGCUGAAAAUAAAAAUAAAAAUCUGCAUUGCCUACCGCUGCUACUCAGUUUCAUUUGCAUCCUCUUAGAGGAAAACGAGUUCAGCUUGUACGGGCUGCGUGAGGACUCCACGUCCCUAUCAUUGGAAACAGGCUUUGCUGGUUACAAAUCUUUUAAGCAUACACUUAAAAU